UACGUAGGGGGCUAGCGUUGUCCGGAUUUAUUGGGCGUAAAGAGCGCGUAGGCGGCUAGGUAAGUCCGACGUGAAAUCUGGAGGCUCAACCUCCAGCGGUCGUUGGAAACUACUUGGCUAGAGUCCGGAAGAGGAGAGUGGAAUUCCUGGUGUAGCGGUGAAAUGCGCAGAUAUCAGGAAGAACACCGAUGGCGAAAGCAGCUCUCUGGGACGGUACUGACGCUGAGACGCGAAAGCGUGGGGAGCGAACAGG
rnacentral:rRNA from 1 species